rnacentral:lncRNA from 1 species
GAUGCCUGAUCUCAUCAAUCUAGCGGGAGAGACAGGAUAACCUGUCCGAGAGUAUAGCGCCACUAUGACUCCGCCGGAAAAAUUACUUUAAAAAUCGCCAAAAAUUACUUGGAGCAAAGGGCAGUCGGCGGAGCUUCGCCAAGGCUGGCGCAGUCGGGUUUUGACCUGUAGCAGAGAACCAAUUCUGGAGAACAGCCUCACUUCUUUGAUUGAAUACUUACAUAAUGCAUUGGAACAUGACAUGAGAUUAAGGGUUUAAUAAUGAUAGAAUGAAGACCACAAUAAAAGAGACCUCUACUUAGCUCAGCAAUUCUUACCUUGUCUUACCUAUUUGAUGAAGAUGUCUUUUGAAAGGUGUACUGCAAGGAACAAAAUGUUUGUAAAUUCUCCUUUUACCAAGGUAAAGAUCAAAUUUUAUAAAUUUACUUGUUUGUUUAUACAAGGAAAAAUAACUUCAUAUAUUGAAUAUAUUCAAAAGUUUAAGCAUUUAGUUGUAUUGCCCUGUUAAGUUGGCAUAGCAAAUAAAUGCUUUUCUUUUCCUCAUUUUAUUCUUUGUGUUUCCUAACCUAUAGCACUGUGCUGGGCACAGAAUGGACUUCAGUUAAGUUUUUGAUGUAGAAAUGUUUUAUUAUUCUACUUAAAAUCUCCUUAAAAAUAAUUAUGCAUAUUACAUCAAUGUUAUAAUGUUUAAACAUAGAUUUUUUUACAUGCAUUCUUUUUUUCCUGAAAGAAAAUAUUUUUUAUAUUCUUUAGGCGCGAAUGUGUGUUUAAAAAAAAUAAAACCUUGGAGUAAAG